GAUGAACGCUGGCGGCGUGCCUAAUACAUGCAAGUCGAGCGAACAGACGAGGAGCUUGCUCCUCUGACGUUAGCGGCGGACGGGUGAGUAACACGUGGAUAACCUACCUAUAAGACUGGGAUAACUUCGGGAAACCGGAGCUAAUACCGGAUAAUAUAUUGAACCGCAUGGUUCAAUAGUGAAAGACGGUUUUGCUGUCACUUAUAGAUGGAUCCGCGCCGCAUUAGCUAGUUGGUAAGGUAACGGCUUACCAAGGCAACGAUGCGUAGCCGACCUGAGAGGGGGAUCGGCCACACUGGAGCUGAGACACGGUCCAGACUCCUACGGGAGGCAGCAGUAGGGAAUCUUCCGCAAUGGGCGAAAGCCUGACGGAGCAACGCCGCGUGAGUGAUGAAGGUCUUCGGAUCGUAAAACUCUGUUAUUAGGGAAGAACAAAUGUGUAAGUAACUAUGCACGUCUUGACGGUACCUAAUCAGAAAGCAACGGCUAACUACGUG
rnacentral:rRNA from 1 species